GCCUACUGAGGUUGAUCAUUUCGCCAUAUGUGAAGGGCUGGCUGGCUGUCAUCUGGCAGAAAAAUCAAGGAUCAUCUCAACACUGCUUAUUCCAAAGUCGAUCUCGUCUUCAUGAUUAUAAGCACAGCACUACAUGGACUGGUGAGAAAGGAAGACAUGGAGGAAAAAAAUGAUCAGACAAUCAAAUUAUAAUUACAAAUUGCAGGUUCCGUGGUACCAGAAGGCAUCAUGAAAGAUUCCAAAGGAGGAAGUCAACCAACAGUCCUACUCAGUUAUGAUGCCUAUGAACUACAUCAAUGACCAGCAUGGCAUGAGAACCCUACAGAUAAGUGUAAUCUUCAUUCUUCAUCAAGGAACUUCUCUUUGCAACAGACAGAGACUAUUAGAGAAAACUACAACCUAUCAAUAUGCUGAACUGUGGAGCCCAGACCCAACGGAUACAUCUACAAAACACUCCUACACCUAAGGCUCAGGGAACAUUGAGGAAGAGUAGGUGGGAAGAUUGUAAGCUCCAGAAGACCAGGGACUUUGCUGUAAGAUUGUGUCUCCUAGUAACAUCAGAAGCUGUACCUGUAAAGUCUCACCAACAUGACCACCCAAAUAUGAACUGAACAAGAAGGUCACCAAUGAACAUGCCAGAUUGCACAGGAAGGAAAGAUGAUAAGGCCUCAACCCUAUAUAAAGAACCGCAGGCAACUGAAUAAAGCUGGGAGAGUGAGAAGUGACUCUCCCCAGGGAACAGCACAGAAACUGUUUGUCCAGUGCCAAAUGGUCAGCCCUGAAAACAUACGUGCAAGUAACAUUAUAUGGACUCAAUAGGUCAUAUUUAGGACUAUAUAUGUCUAUCCAAGUAGAUAUAUGCAUACAAUAACAAUGGAUGAGAAAAAGAGGCUAUGAAUUUGAAGGAGAGUGGGAAAGUAUGUAUGGAAGGGUUUGGAGGGUGGAGAGGAAAGGAGAAAUGUAAUUAAAAUACAACCUCAAAACUAAACAAAAAAAUUAAGAUACAGAAUGAUUGAGGAAAACACAUUACCCACUGUCAACACUGGCUUCCACCUACUUAUACAUAGGCAAGUGUACCUGCACACAUAUGUGUACAGUAAUAUAAAUACACACAAAAAACAGAGAGAGGGUGGAAGAGAGAGAGAGAAUAUGUCAGUUACAGGGAGAGUUGAUGACUUGUGCCAGACGACAAAAUAAGAAUGAGUAUAGAGAACUGAGACUUGGACCCACAUCCAUCACACAUAAGCAUCAUUGCUCUAAACACUGUAUUGUCCUUGUGACUACACAAGGACACAAGGACCCUUGAUUGGGCACAGAUCAAAUCUGAAAAGACCAAGUGGGGAUAGGCAAUGACCAGCACUCCAAGUCCAGAUACUAACCAUGGUGCUAGUCAUACAACCAGGACACAAUCACCAUAGCACCAAAGGCCAGUGCCAAGACCUGAAGUCCUAGCAUUGAGGAUGAGAGAAAUUGCAAAGUCCAAUGCUAAGAUUAGCCACAGGGAAGUAUAAAGAAAGUUGGAUCAUUUAUUUCUGGUUCUUCCUCAAUCCUCAUUCUCCAUAUCUAAUUACCCAUUGUCUUACUGUUCUGAUUCCAAAAUAUUCUAUCACUCUUCUCUCUCUCUCCUCAUCCUAAAAGCUACUAUCUUAAUAUUUUUGAGAUACCCAAACUAUCUACUUCAACUUUGCCCCUCUAGUCUCUCCCUAACAUCACAGCCUGUUGUUUCUGAAAUACACGUCUGAGCCUUCCUGUCUCCAUCUCCUAUAAUUCACUAGCCUCUCCUAGCCUUGGGAUGAGAGAAUUAAGGAGAGAAAGAAAAAAAAAAGACACACAAAGUUUUCACUUGACAACUUCAUCUCUCACAUCUCCUAUUUCUGCUCUUCCUCAGACAAAUGAAGUACUUUUAGUUUGUCUGAUGCAAUACCUCAAGUUUUCCCUAGUGGCCAGGCCUUUGUGAAUACUCUGUGUGCAAUCUAGAGAACAGUUUCCAUCCAAAUGCCUUCAAGUCUAGCAUGGACAUCACUUCUUCCCAGAACCCUUUGUUGGCACAAGUAUGGCCUUGGAAGACAAACUUCAUCAUAUCACGUAUCACAUAUUCCCCCUGCUAUGAUUUCUUACUCCCUUUAAGCAACUUGAACACCUCAACAUGACCCUAUGGCUCCAUAUCUGUCUCAGAUGUGUUGUAAAAUAUUGUCUAGGGGGUAUAAAGCAGUUCUCAGAGAGACGGGUGUGUGAAUGCUUAUGAUAAAUAUGAAAUAAAUACCACUGGAAAACUCAGAAAGCUAUCCAUGUAAAGAAAAUGAGUAGAAAGCCAUCAGCUCAUGGGAGCUGGUGGGAAGCUCUUCUCUGCAGAGCCACUAGGGAAGAUUUUUUUAUUUCAAAGUCAUCGCUCCCCUGUGCUGCACAGUUUCCAUCUUGAAAUCCUCUGAGAUUUUCAAAGGAAGACUCCAAAAGCUCUGUUUGACCUCUCUGGUCUCCUUGGUCCCUGAUAUCAGCAUUCUUUGAAAAGUUCUUUGCUGUUAGCUUACCAUAUUUGAUAAGGGAAGAACACAUGCAGAUACACAGUUUCUAAACAGGUUGAGAACUCCUCAUGCAUUAUGAGAUGUAAGUGUUUGCUAUGGAGUAAAUUUCAUAUUUAACUUUACCCACGGGUACACCUCCAAGCCUUAGUAUGUGCCUUCCUGUAGAACCCUCUACAUAGCCUAGCUAAUCCCCUCACCCACGUCCCAGAUACACAGCAUUGUAAGUUCCCUCAGGUAUAUAUGAUAAAGCCCAUACCUGAGUUAUUUAUUUUUAAAUCCACCACCUACCACUAUGCCUGGCUGACGUAAGGAAGGGAUGUUUUGCAAUUAAUUAUAGUGAAAAUAAUAUAAACAACCCAUCCAUACCCCUUUGCCUCAAUAAGAUGUACAAUACGUAAAAUUUCCUUUCCAGCCUCAGUAUCAUGCACUAAAGUAACUAGAACCAAGUGGGAGACUUGGGACUUCUCUUGGCCCCACUACAACUGCCCUUUCAACCUCAUUUUUGGAACUUCAGAGGAACCACUAGGCUAGAAGUGCAAGAGCUGUGGGUAUCAGAGUUCUCUUAGAGCUGAUCUAGAGAACUUUUCUCUUUUUUUUGGUGUGUAUGUGCGUUUUUUAAUAGCAUCUAGACAAAUUUUAAAAUGUGCUUGUGGUUCAGUUCAUGAAGGGGAAGCAGAACAUGAGCUCAGCACACCAAUUGCUUACCCCUUUGUCUCCCAAUUUCUUGGAGAAAAUUUUGUGAGCACACUCCAAGUAUGUCAAUAUAAUAAAGUAUCCAACGUUUGGGUAAAUUAUAUAUUAGCUGCAGCAACUGUUCAGCUUUUAAAAAGAAUUUUCCACAUGAAAAAAUUAAAAUUUAGCGCAGUUGGUUCAGUGCCCUACAGCUUUGAAAAAUACAUCAUAACAAAACCAAAAUGGUUUUAGAGAAUUCUAACCUCACUUGUUCUAAUUUUCCUGAUUUUUUUUUCAACUGGUUCUACUAAAAGGGGGCAAAUUGUCACCUUGAGAGAUAAAGCCAAAAAGCAAUGAAACAGCUACAGAUUUUUAAAAACUUGUUACUCUACCUGGUAGCCAAGAAAGCACCUGGGUUCAUGUGAGAGGUAGCAUUCUCUCUGACUAUUAUCACAUCAGUUCUGCGGUCAUUAACAGCCUGGCUAUGUUAGGAGCUCUGGUCUAGGGGUGGAGACAUGAGGCCUUUGACCUCCAAGUCUCUUGGCAACUUUUAAAAAAGAAUGUUAACAAGACAUGGGGUCAGGAAAUCUGGGUUCCAUUCUUAGCUAUGCCAUGUGGCAUGAUCUUUAAAGCUACCUAGUCAGAAAAUAAUAUCCCAGAGACAAAAGGUUCUACAAAGCAACUGUCCUGAACUCCAAAAACAUGAAAGUCAAUACAAAAGCAAGGAACUCUUCUUGAGUAAACACCCAAGGGACACAGUCAUGAUAUAUCACAUGUGAUCAUGGGUGAGACAGCAAGCAAACAGAAGAAAACACUGUAGAGGGCAUUGUUAAGUCAACUGACAAACUUCUCUCUUCUUUCCCUCCUCUGUGUUGGGGAUUGAACCUGCGGCCUCAUAGGUACUAGGCAAAUGCUCCACCACUGA